GUUAAACAUCGUUGUACAGUACAGUAUAGUAUACAUACCUCAUUUAAACGACGCGGACGUCGCGUUGUUCUUGGAAUUAAAAUAUUUUCAUCUUCCAAAAAUCGUUUAUAUGGUCCUCUUUUCAUAUUUUUAACGUACGCAAAAUUAACUUUGAAACAACAAUUACACACGGACGACGAGACAUAAGGCCUGUUCUUUUUAGCUGAACUGGCUGCACUAAUUCAGAGUUUAUCUUUCUUCUUUUAACGUGGAGGGAAGAAGAUAAACUGUGAACUAGUGCAGUCAGUUCAGCUAAAAAGAACAGGCUUACAAUUACAAUUUUACAAAUGUGAGCGGGAGACAAAGCAAUGCAGCUGAGAAAGAAAAAUCAAAAUAUCGCUCGUACACCAGCAAAUACAGAUGCAAGGAUAUAAUUCGGACCAAUGAGCGUUUAGCAUUGGACCGCCAAUUUGAAAAUCGGACCAAUCCCAACUAGUGAUAGAAUUUCGCGCCCGAAAACAUAUGCAGCACGCAUGUAGCACCGGCCACGCCGCACACAACACGCUCGCAUGGCGCGCACUGAACCUAACCAAGCGUGUGUCAUAUAUAGAUAGAGCAUUUCAACGUGCGUACGUGCAUGUGUGUGUAGCGUGCUACGUGAUUUCGGACUUGUAUUCACAUCUCGAUCCGCGCCUUGCAAGAGAUUUCGUGUUAGUUUUACGUUUCUUCGUUCUAGUGAACGACAAACAACGAUACAGUAAUGACGAAUUUGCACAUGAUAGAUGACACACAAUGUUUAAUUUAUGAGUUCACAAACGAGAGUCACAAAAUUGCAGUAGGGUUCCGCGAAUGGUUGUGUAAGAAAGUGACUGAUAGUGAAUUGCGAGAAAUUAUCAAUGAAGAAAAACAAGUUACAUUGCAAUGGCCUGAUGUGGAUGUCGGACCAGCGGCUACUAUAAAAAAAAAAUAGAUUCAUGUUCAUGGAUGCAAACCACGGCAAAAAUUUUAGCUCAUGGUGAAUGGACAGACAUGUGCACUCGUCGAUCUAAUUUGGAAAAAUAUGGGUUUAUGAAGUCUUCUAAAAGUGAGCGAAAAGAAAUAAAAAGAAAA